rnacentral:rRNA from 1 species
GUAGUCCACGCCUUAAACUAUGGAUACUUGUUGUUGGAGGUAUUGACCCCUUCAGUGACGAAGCUAACGCGUUAAGUAUCCCGCCUGGGAAGUACGGUCGCAAGAUUAAAACUCAAAGAAAUUGACGGGGGCCCGCACAAGCGGUGGAGCAUGUGGUUCAAUUCGAUGCAACGCGAAGAACCUUACCUGGGUUUGACAUGUAUUGGAAGACUACAAGAAAUUGUGUCGCUCGCAAGAGCCGAUACACAGGUGCUGCAUGGCUGUCGUCAGCUCGUGUCGUGAGAUGUUGGGUUAAGUCCCGCAACGAGCGCAACCCUUGCCUUUAGUUGCCAGCAUUAAGUUGGGCACUCUAAAGGGACUGCCGACGUUAAGUCGGA